rnacentral:rRNA from 1 species
UGGGGAAUUUUGGACAAUGGGCGAAAGCCUGAUCCAGCAAUGCCGCGUGUGUGAAGAAGGCCUUCGGGUUGUAAAGCACUUUUGUCCGGAAAGAAAUCCUUGGCUCUAAUACAGUCGGGGGAUGACGGUACCGGAAGAAUAAGCACCGGCUAACUACGUGCCAGCAGCCGCGGUAAUACGUAGGGUGCAAGCGUUAAUCGGAAUUACUGGGCGUAAAGCGUGCGCAGGCGGUUUGCUAAGACCGAUGUGAAAUCCCCGGGCUCAACCUGGGAACUGCAUUGGUGACUGGCAGGCUAGAGUAUGGCAGAGGGGGGUAGAAUUCCACGUGUAGCAGUGAAAUGCGUAGAGAUGUGGAGGAAUACCGAUGGCGAAGGCAGCCCCCUGGGCAAUACUGACGCUCAUGCACGAAAGCGUGGGGAGCAAACAGGAUUAGAUACCCUGGUAGUCCACGCCCUAAACGAUGUCAACUAGUUGUUGGGGGAUUCAUUUCCUUAGUAACGUAGCUAACGCGUGAAGUUGACC